GACCAAUUAAUAAACAUUCUAAACAAAUUAUAACUAUAGGUUCCAAGUUGUUUCCAACUUGCAGGCAAGCAUAUUCAAUUAAAAAUAUCCAAAUAAUUUUCCAUUAACGUGGGAUCCGAACUCGUGAAUUCCUCUCUGAGCCUCACAGUGAUGAGUUCUCUGGCCGGGAACCAGUUCUCUAAGCCAUCACAGUGAUGAGUUCGCUCCUGAAUGGAGGAUCAAAGCAUCAUCGGUCCUCGCCGCAGUACCAAUUGGUUAAAGCAUUCGGCUUCUCUCUGAGGUAUGGCUGUAACAUGGACGUGCAAGGAGUAUCAUGCUUGAAGCAAUGUCAUCUGGAGAAGCUUUUGGGACUUCAAAGAUGGGGAUCCUUUGGUGGGACAAGGACCAGGAGCAAGGGAGCAGGCCGAAGCUUUCGUGCAUUAGCUAUCGUUGGACCACUUGAAGGUGCAAGGGAGGUGCCUUAAAGGAUUCUCUUUGGGGCAUGGUGGAAGCUUUGAGUACCACAAGUGGCUUCUAAAAGAAUUGUGAGGACCACAUCCACAGUAAUAAAGAAGACAUACAUGCCAUUGAAAGAUUGCUGGUUUUCUGUCCUUUACAUCCUAUAUGGCAUAUGACCCAUGUUUCUUUUUUACUACUGCCCUCAGUCUUUACUUUCUUCUCUGAUGAGCAGGUCCAUAUUUCCUGUAAAAGGUGAACACUGAGUACCUCAAAAAAGUUGAAUUCAUUCCAGGACUUUUUAAUAUAUCAAAAAACUUGAAUUCAUUACA